AUUGAACGCUGGCGGCAGGCCUAACACAUGCAAGUCGAGCGGAUGAAGGGAGCUUGCUCCUGGAUUCAGCGGCGGACGGGUGAGUAAUGCCUAGGAAUCUGCCUGGUAGUGGGGGAUAACGUCCGGAAACGGGCGCUAAUACCGCAUACGUCCUGAGGGAGAAAGUGGGGGAUCUUCGGACCUCACGCUAUCAGAUGAGCCUAGGUCGGAUUAGCUAGUUGGUGGGGUAAAGGCCUACCAAGGCGACGAUCCGUAACUGGUCUGAGGGGAUGAUCAGUCACACUGGAACUGAGACACGUUCCAGACUCCUACGGGAGGCAGCAGUGGGGAAUAUUGGACAAUGGGCGAAAGCCUGAUCCAGCCAUGCCGCGUGUGUGAAGAAGGUCUUCGGAUUGUAAAGCACUUUAAGUUGGGAGGAAGGGCAGUAAGUUAAUACCUUGCUGUUUUGACGUUACCAACAGAAUAAGCACCGGCUAACUUCGUG
rnacentral:rRNA from 1 species